rnacentral:lncRNA from 1 species
UCAGCAACUCAAAUAAAGUAAAGCCAGAAUGGCUAAUAUACAGAAGAUGUUAAGAGGAAUGUAUGAGGAGCUGAAGUACAUAUGCCAUAUACCAGAUGUGGAGUUACUCCAUGCCUCUGGAGACACACUGCAGAGUCUUGAAUCCAUGCAGCUGUAUGCAGACCAGCCUGUGAAUCCAGAACUCAGUGCAGGGCCCAUCACUAGACUAAUCAACAGGCUUAACUGCUUCCAAGUUGAUAUUACUCUGUAUCCAAGAGAGCCAACAGUCUUCCUGUAUGGAGAGUUGAGAAGUAUGAAUGUUGGAUGUAAUCCUCAAG